CAGAACAGUGAAGCAAUGAUUUCAACUGACAUGCCUGCUGGUCCUUCAGAACUUUUGUCAUUGCGGACAAAUAUGCUAGUCAUGUUCAUAUAGCUGUAGAUUUGUUUUCUCAGAGAUGCAACCAUGGCGGAAGUGGAAGGCUUGGAAGCCCGCAAGAGAUGGUAACUCUUAGAUUACAAGACAUUGAAGCCAGGCGAGUUGCCAACAUAACUUAGGCUCCUUUUGUUUGUAUUUGUUUUCUGAUUGUUUUGAAAGCAGCCUCUCAAGUUUUCUCACCUGUAUGCAAAAUUUGUAUUAUUGCUAUUAGUGUUGGAAUUUUGUAUGUUGUAACAUGAUAUAGAUCUCAAAAUAUCAAUGCCUGAUCAAUAAAAUCUUUUAGAGUCGAGUUUAUUUUUA